AAAUUAUAAUAUGUUUUUUUAGGUCCAGCUAUAAACCCCUGGUAAACCUUAUAAUUUUGCCAGAACCAGUUUCACACACAACAUUUACAAAGCUAGUGGUUCUAUAAAAACUUAAGGAAAGAAUAAAUUUUAGAGUUGUCAUCGGCUAAAAAGAUAACGUUUAAUACAAAAGUCGCAUUCAUAUCUAAAAACAGGUAACGUGACACCAGGUUUUUAAACAGGUGAG
rnacentral:lncRNA from 1 species